rnacentral:rRNA from 1 species
UACGGAGGGGGCAAGCGUUGUCCGGAAUUAUUGGGCGUAAAGAGCUCGUAGGCGGUCUGUCGCGUCGGCUGUGAAAACCCGGGGCUCAACCCCGGGCCUGCAGUCGAUACGGGCAGACUAGAGUGCGGUAGGGGAGACUGGAAUUCCUGGUGUAGCGGUGAAAUGCGCAGAUAUCAGGAGGAACACCGGUGGCGAAGGCGGGUCUCUGGGCCGUAACUGACGCUGAGGAGCGAAAGCGUGGGGAGCGAACAGG